rnacentral:rRNA from 1 species
GACGAACGCUGGCGGCGUGCUUAACACAUGCAAGUCGAACGGAAAGGUCCUGCUGUUGUGGGGUGCUCGAGUGGCGAACGGGUGAGUAACACGUGAGUAACCUCCCCUUGACUUUGGGAUAACUUCAGGAAACUGGGGCUAAUACCGGAUCGUAGCUCCUGCUGCAUGGAGGGGGGUGGCAAGUUUCGGCGUGUGGUGAUGGACUCGCGGCUUAUCAUCUUGUUUGUGGGGUAUUGGCUUACCAAGGCAUUGACGGGUAGCCGACAUGAGAGGGUGAACGGCGCCAUUGGGACUGCGGUACGGACCAGUGUGCAACGUGAGACAGCAGUGGGGAAUAUUACACAGUAAGCGGAAGCGUGAUGAGACAGCGCCGCGUGCGGAAUGACGUCCUUCGGGUUGUAAAACGCUUUCGCCUGAUACGAAGCGUGAGUGACGGUAAUGGGAAAAGAAGCACCGGCUAACUACGUG